rnacentral:rRNA from 1 species
AAAGUGGAGGAUCUUCGGACCUCACGCUAUCAGAUGAGCCUAGGUCGGAUUAGCUAGUAGGUGGGGUAAUGGCUCACCUAGGCGACGAUCCGUAACUGGUCUGAGAGGAUGAUCAGUCACACUGGAACUGAGACACGGUCCAGACUCC